rnacentral:misc_RNA from 1 species
GGUAUCAGCCACAACUUGAGAAUCAAUCAACAAGGUAUCGCCAUCUCAUCCAUUGUCAGUGGCAAUAUUCACUCACCUUCAGGUCUUCUUCACAUAGGUGUCAUGGAUAGUGGAUAACCAUCAUUUACCUUUUUAUUUAGAAGAACAAAAUAGCAGCUUCAGGAGCUAGGAUUGCAAAAACUUAUAUUAAUCAUAUCUCUCUCGACAACAUUAUCCAAAUAUGCCCCUCUACACAGAUAUAUAAUCAAAAGGGAGAAGGAAUGAGGUCUACACAUGCCUAUUUAUUUCAUGAUGGUAAACAAUGUCUGCAGCAGGGCCAAAAUGAAGAGGAAGCCUGCAACAACCUGCGAGAUGAUCGCCCAUGGAGUGGUGAAUUCAUUGCGAUAAAUUGCCCGCAACCUAGGCCAGCUGCGUUUGCAAUACUCAUUCACUUGCUCGCUAAGCUCAAGAUAGUAGUAAUCCUUGACAUAAGCACCAGGGUAGAUUGCCUUAUUGAAGAAAUUGGUGACAUCCUCAGGAUUCAUCCAGUUAUCAAAGAUUCCAGCCUCACGGAGUAAAUUGAAGUCCAUGGCAGUGUUGAUGAGGCAUCCCAUAAGUGUCACAUAAGAAGUGAUUCCAUGGGGGCAGUUGGUCAAACACUGCUCCAAGCAGACUAAAUUCCGAAAUAUAUCUUCGGUCCCUUGUCGAAAUUCAAGACAUGGGAUUUCCAAAUAGCCAUUUUGAAAUGUUACCUGCAAAAUGCUCUUAGCCUCUAAUUUUCUUUUGAUUUUGACUCCAGCUUUCCGAAGAACUGUUGCAGGAGGAAUGGGUUUCCAUCCCCCAUUUGUUUCUAUGUCAUCUACUUGCACAACUGUAUUUUGCCCUUUUGCUUCUUCAAUUGGAAAAACCAGCCAUAACCUUAAGAGAUCAAGAAUAUGCUUGGGCUGUUGGCUGGGUGGAUUUCCCCCAGUUGGCACAAAUGCACUUGGGAAAAUUCGUUUAAGAAGUGCACUAACAUGCCAAAUAAGUGGCUUUCCAUUGUUCCCACAUGUCCUAACAAAAAUAUCU